rnacentral:lncRNA from 1 species
AUAUCAUGACCUUAAUAACAUGGAUGGGACAUAGGCGAUAUUUGGAUAUUAAAUUGGCCAUGUAAGAAAUGUGAUGUAUGUGCUAGGUUAGUCUUAGGCUAGGGUGUAGCAUUGUGUUCGUCCUACCAUGGGCUGGACUAUGGUUAUAAUUAGUUUAAUGCCAAAAAGAUAAACAUAAAUUUGCAUAACCACAAGAGUGGGAAAAAAGGGAACAUGUAAACUAAUUAGCCUUAUAUGAAAUAUGGUGUAUCAGAUACUGGCUA